rnacentral:lncRNA from 1 species
AUCCAGUGUCAAAACUGUAUCUGCACUGAAAGGAGUGGAAAGCACUGGAUCCACUGUUACUAGUAAGACCAGUAAGUAGAGGAACAGCCUUUGAACAUGUAUCAGUAAAGGCAUUUAAUAAAAGUAGUAAUGUUAAAUAAAUCUCCUUAAGGGAAGUUUCUAGGUGGUUGCUGUGGUGUUAUUACGUGAUUUUGUUUUAAUCUGCUGGAUGGUUGACUUUACUGAAUGUAAAAAGAAAUACAGUUGAAAAAUAUGUUUUACUAACACAUAUCUCUCUUUGUCCAUAUCUCUGUCCCUCUCUUUCAGCAUCAUCCAGUAUCAACAGUGUGUUGACAUUUACAGGAGUGAAGAGCACUGGAUCCACUAUUACCAGUAACACCACUUUAUCCAGUAUCAACAGUGUGUUUCCAGGAGUGAAGAGCAGUGGAUCCACUGUUACCAGUAACACCACUUCAUCCAGUGUCAACAAUGUAUCGACAUUUACAGGAGUGAAGAGCAGUGGAUCCACUGUUACCAGUAACACCAAUACAUCAAUUGUCAACACUUCGUCUGCACUGAAAGUAAUGGAAAGCACUGGAUCCACUGUUACUAGUAGGACCACUUUAUCCAGUAUCAACAGUGUGGUGACAUUUACAGGAGUGAAGAGCAGUGGCUCCACUGUUACCAGUAACACCACUACAUCCAGUGCCAACAAUGUGUCAACAUUCACAGAAGUAAAGCACAGUGUGACCAGUAACACCAGUAAGUAGAGAUGCAUAAUUAGAGCAUGCAUUAAUAAAGCCUGUCAUUCACAUAAAAAUUGC